GGAUGUGAGAGCUAUCUGGCUGCAACAUCUGGCACCCCACUGAUCACCAGGGUUGAUUCGGCUGAUCUGGCUGGCUAGGCAGAUGCCCCCUUCCUCCCUCUCUGCUCCAUACACGUCUCUCCUGAAGCUGCGCGCUCAGUCGAAGAGGACAGCCUUCCCCAAAUAGAGACGGACCGGUCUUCAGUCAGGGUUUGUACUAGUAGCUGCACUUCCCUGCUAGAACCUCCAAACAAGCUCUCAAGAAACAACCCAAUUAAAAGUGGGGGGAGGGGAGAGUCACCAAAGAGCAUGUACAGAUGGCAAAGUAAUAUGUAAAGAUGCUCAAGGCC
rnacentral:snRNA from 1 species